GAUGAACGCUUUCUUCUUUCCUAAUACAUGCAAGUCGAGCGAACGGACGAGAAGCUUGCUUCUCUGAUGUUAGCGGCGGACGGGUGAGUAACACGUGGAUAACCUACCUAUAAGACUGGGAUAACUUCGGGAAACCGGAGCUAAUACCGGAUAAUAUUUUGAACCGCAUGGUUCAAAAGUGAAAGACGGUCUUGCUGUCACUUAUAGAUGGAUCCGCGCUGCAUUAGCUAGUUGGUAAGGUAACGGCUUACCAAGGCAACGAUGCAUAGCCGACCUGAGAGGGUGAUCGGCCACACUGGAACUGAGACACGGUCCAGACUCCUACGGGAGGCAGCAGUAGGGAAUCUUCCGCAAUGGGCGAAAGCCUGACGGAGCAACGCCGCGUGAGUGAUGAAGGUCUUCGGAUCGUAAAAAUCUGUUAUUAGGGAAGAACAUAUGUGUAAGUAACUGUGCACAUCUUGACGGUACCUAAUCAGAAAGCCACGGCUAACUACGUG
rnacentral:rRNA from 1 species